CCUUCCUAUGAUAAGAGAGGACUGGAGGUUCCUCCUUAGCUGUGGGCUCAGAGGCAGAGCUCUGGGGUGUCUCCACCAUGGCCUGGACCCCUCCCCUGCUCACCCUCCUCACUCUCUGCACAGGCUCUGUGGUUUCUUCUGAGCUGACUCAGGACCCUGCAGUGUCUGUGGCCUUGGGACAGACAGCCAGGAUCACCUGCCAGGGAGAGAGCCUCAGAAGCUAUUAUCCAAGCUGGUACCAGCAGAAGCCGGGCCAGGCCCCUGUGCUGGUCAUCUAUGGUAACAACAACCGGCCCUCAGGAAUCCCAGACCGAUUCUCUGGCUCCAGCUCAGAAAACACAGCUUCCUUGACCAUCACUGGGGCUCAGGUGGAAGAUGAGGCUGACUAUUACUGUAACUCCUGGGACAGCAGUGGUACUUAUCCCACAGUGACACAGACAGAUGGGGAAGUGAGAGAGAAACCCCUUCCCUCUCUGUGUCACCCUAUCUCUCCAGCCCCAGCAGGACUGUAAACAAAGCCAUAAGCAGGGCUGGCCCAGUUCACCUGGAUC